rnacentral:lncRNA from 1 species
GGAAAACAAAUGGAUAUCUUGUGAAGGAGCCCGGACAAAUCUCUUCUGGUGGGACAGGUGAAGUGUCUUCUAAGCAUCUCAAGGUACCUGAUGAAACAGAACUAGUGCAUGAUGAUGGACAAAACAAAUCUCUUCUGGUUAAGACAAAUGGAUAUCCUGUGAAGGAGCCCGAACAAAUCUCUUCUGGUGGGAUAGGUGAAGUGUCUUCUAAGCAUCUCAAGGUACCUGAUGAAACAGAACUAGUGGAUGAUGAUGGACAAAACAAAUCUCUUCUAGUGAAGACAAAUGGAUAUCUUGUGAAGGAGCCUGAACAAAUCUCUUCUGGUGGGAUAGGUGAAGUGUCUUCUAAGUAUCUCAAGGUACCUGAUGAAACAGAACUGGUGGAUGAUGAUGGACAAAACAAAUCUCUUCUAGUGAAGACAAAUGGAUAUCUUGUGAAGGAGCCCGAACAAAUCUCUUCUGGUGGGAUAGGUGAAGUGUCUUCUAAGUAUCUCAAGGUACCUGAUGAAACAGAACUAGUGGAUGAUGAUGGACAAAACAAAUCUCUUCUAGUGAAGACAAAUGGAUAUCUUGUGAAGGAGCCCGAACAAAUCUCUUC